CGACGUUCUCUGGCAACCACCACCACCACACCAGCACACCACCUUGGCACCACUGACCGACCCAGCCGCAAGUUCACUGGGCGCCCCGCAAUACGCAAAUAAUUAUGGCUCAUACACACUGGUUCACCUUGAAAUGGUUCUAACAGAACAACGGAUCUUCUAUACUCGUAUCAAAACUGAUGUAAAAUACCGUCAAAGGCUCUAUUUAAAUAUAAGAAAGAUGAUCGAGACCAGAAAUAUUUAAAACUUUAAUUUUACUAACUAUCGUUAUAAUAGUUACAAGGCUGAUUUUAAUUGAGAAUAUGAUGGAUAUCUAAAAAUGGUACUAUAAGCUUUGUAUACUUUUUGAUACGGUAUGAACUAAUAUUAUCACAAACAGCUGGUCUAUAUCAAUCUAGAAAGCUACACAUAUAUGUAUGUAUCACAGUUCUAAACCUUUUUCUGUCGAGUAAAUUAAUUUCUAUGCCCUUUUUUCUGCGGUGCACUAACUAUGUGGGUGGGGAAUGCGCUUUCCCCUAUUCCGCUUGUCCGCUUUUCUCCAGGACGCGAAUGCAACAAGUUAAUCAACGCACGCCUCGCAUCAAACUGGCGCCUCAGUCCACAAACGCUGUCAUCAAAUGGCGGCACCCGCCGGCAGCGCAGCGACUGCGCAGCGGCAGCACGGCGGCAGAGCUUCGAGGGCCUUGUAAAAGUACUCCAGACCCCCAAAAGUGGGUGGUGGGUGUUUCUGGAUGGUGGGUGUAGGUGGUGGGUGGAGGGGGAUUUAAUAAAUUGUACGCUUGUCUCACGAUUGGAGUGUCCAUGUCCAUGUCUGCCGCUCCGAGUGAGUCAGCGUCGCUAUUCCGUGCUAUUUUUAAGUUAAUACGGCCAACAUCCUCCACUUUUAUUAUUGAGAAUGAAAAUAUAUCAAUUAUACAUAGAAGCAUGGCAGCGUGGCAGCACACACAAAGCGCCUUCCUUUUAUUCGGACACAUGUUUAUGUAUAAUUGCCGCUUUUCAUACAUUCGUCUUGGGCAGGGGAAUCGAAAGUGAACGCAGGCGUUGACCACUUGAUGCUUCUUUAAAAAUAAAUCCGGCACAGUGGGUCCAACUAGCUUGAAUACAAAUCGAACUAGUGAAAUUGAACUUGCUUAAGAAUAGCUCGAACAACAAUUGGAUAAGCACACAUGCGUUAAACUCAGCGGUGUUUUGGAAGUUAAAGUCCCAUAAAACGCAAAGCCUUUGGUAUUGUUGUUAGAUGGAAGCAAGAAUUUUUGUUAUCUAUGAACAGAGAAGGUUUGUAACCGUUUUACACCUUUCUUUAGCCACAUACCAUAGCACUUGCCGCACUGUUCACUUAUUUUCACGACAUAUUCGAAUGAAAACAACGAGUUUGUUUAGGUAUUUCUUCAAAGUCGCUCUACUGAAGGCGAAAUAUUAAUUAUUCAAACCAUUAAGUAUUUAAGGAGCACCGGAUGUGUUUUUGACAAGGUCAAUUUGUAGCUAAUAGAAUGCAGCUAAUUUGUCACACUCACUUGUAGGAAUUUAUAGCUGAAGAGAAGGAAAACAUAUACGAUGAAGAUCAGAAAGGCGAAAUGCGUCACCCUGGGACGAUGCCAGAAGGCAGGUAUACGCAUUUUCCCGAAUUGCCGGAAAAUCGCGAAACUAAAGCACCGAACUAUUCUCCAAACGUAGUGGAACUGAACUGAGCCCCAGUGCGCUUGCCUGCCGAUGAGUUCCCGGUUUUAUCAGCUCGGUUCCAUUGAUAAGGUGCGCUAUCAUCGGAAUUGAUACGCACCUAUGUGCAUGCAUUGUGUGCUUUACAGUUUUGGAGAGUUGGAGAGUUUCGCCGAGAAACCGACGGUUUCUUCUCUUUUAACGAGCCUAUUAGUGCAUAAAACAGAUGGGACUAAGCAACUGUUAGUUCAUGUCAAUAAACUUAUUGGUUAUGGUGACAAAAAUAACAAAAUGUACCAUUGAUAGGUUAUCUUUUUCUGUUUUGACUUUCUGGAGCUAUAUAGGGACUGCUUCCUUUGACGGACUUUUAAUCCAACGUUUUUGGUCGGAAAAAGAUUUAACAGUUAUAUCAAUUAUUGAACCCAAUUAAGUACUGCAAUAUCUCCUGGAUUUUCAAAGGACUUUCCGCGCAGCUGCACCUUCAGCUCAUUCCCAGCCCGCAUGCUGUCAGUAGUGAAAUCAUGUAAUGCCACCAAUUGAUGAUCCCACAAGAGUCCUCAAUGAAAUUAAACGCAACCAGCAUAACUGAACUACCAGUAGCCACCAAACUGACACAGGAGCAGCCCAAAAACUACCCCAAUGCGAAUACCCCCGUCCCAAUCCCAAUCCAAAUCCAAAUCCAAUUCCAAGUGCUUUGUUAUCUGUUCCUUGAGAAAACAGUUGGGUGAACACCUUUCUCGGGGAGAUUUUCGCCAAAGGACUAAUACACCUAUAGACCAAAAGAAACCCCCAGGAGCGUGAGAAAGCGAGCCAGCGAAAUCUUGACUAAUUACUAUGCACUCAACUGGUAGCACUAGAUCAGUUCGGUUCCCACAAGUCGACGGAGUCGUUUGAGCCGGGGGUGACUUAACCCGGCAACCCUCCACCGAGAAUCGGAAUCCCAGAGCAAACCAAGAAGUAAGGCGAUCGCGGGGACAGUGCCGACAUACCAGCAUAAAAUGAAAUAAGCAUUUUCAAUUCGAUUCAUUCCUUGGGCCUAACCCUCGUUUUAUUAUUGUUAUGGCCCAGCGGCACGCACCCGGUUCUUGCUUCCCAGUAUCCAGAAUCGUACCCCCUCCCAAAAUGUUGGAUUCCCCCUCUGCCGGCACGCCUGCGUCAUGCGAAAGUAUUUCAUGGUGGUGCUAUGGUGGUGGAUUUUUCAUUUGGCACAGUAUAAAAGACCGAUCCGAUCAGCAUUGCGGCACAGUCCAGUGAAAAGUCACAUAGAGUUACGACCUCGGUCCGAAGAUCGCUAAGCCGCCACCGUUGCUGUGGCGGCCUUAGCUGCUGGUUAAAGUUCAAUUAAAGAUAAUUAAAACUUCGCAAGGUUGGUCCAACCCAUGGAAAUCCAAAUACUGCUUAAAUACUUACAAAGCAUUUAAAAUCACUGAGCAAUUGUACAAAGCAGUCGGCAGAAAUAUAUAGAGAUUGAAAUUUAUUCAAAAGUUCAUUACGAUAAAAGCACCAGGAACCAAAAUGCAACUGGUAUUUAAGUUUAUCCUGCGAACAGAAAACCAAUGAGCAAGAAACUGAGGUGCAGCACACUGUAUGAUCGCCGUAUAAAUAAAUACAGAAAGUUUGUGACACUGGACACAUAAAAAGAGGACUUGACGACACCAACACGGAAAAGUCACACGCUCAUGGACCUAUUACAAAAGGGAAACAUACAAUCAAACAACGAACAUUUAAAAAAAAAACAAUAAUUUUAAUGAUAAACCAUUGAAUUCUACAAUUUUCCCUACUCGGUCUAAAUUACUACAUAUAACCACUUAGGAUCCGAAAAUUUUAUUGAUCCCCAUAAAAAAUCCAAAUGCAUAACCAAAUCUCACUAUGGUAGAGCUUCCAAAAAAACUUUAAAUAUUUCUAUACUAAAAAAUAAUCUACCACCAAACAGAUCGAGAAUUCUUGAACAUUUUUCCGAUGAUCAACGCAACUAUCAACAAAACAGCAUCUUCCAACAUUUAUGCCAAUGUUUUCCGGGUUAAAAAACGAAGCUUAGUUUUAAAUUUAUUCGUGCCUUUUUAGUUUCCUAAUUUGCUCAUUUUUUGUUGUGUUAAUGUUUUUUGUUAAUCAAAUUUAAAAGCUAUAAAUUUGUUGGUCUAACAAUA